rnacentral:lncRNA from 1 species
UGAUUCUUCCAGCUUCUGACACUCGGCAGUUUUGGGACUCCCUGUGCUGAAGUUGCAUCUCAAGCAUUGUUUUUAUGAACCACUGAGUGAGGAAGCAACAAUAGGAACAAUGGAUCACUGUUCAGCAUCAGUGGCAACUGCACUUAGAAAUAAGUAACAGUGCCACUUCAAAACGCUUGACAUGGACAACAGAGACAGAAGAGCCAGGAAAUUAUGGUAGUGCUAAAGCCACACCCACGGCCAGAGGCAACAUCUCACAGCUCCUCCAAGUUGUGAACGCCUUGGGAGCUGAGAGUCCCUACCAUGCAAAGAGAAAAUCAUUUGAAAAAUGACAGUGUCUGAAGAAUAAUGGGAAUUCAAAGUCUGGCUCCAAAUUUCCUUGUGAAUCAGUCUGCUUCUCUGCAUCUGCAGAAUGGGACAGUGUUUCUCCAUGAUGUGCUUGUUAAAAGAGGUGAAAUAUCUGGAAAAAAAUAG